rnacentral:rRNA from 1 species
AGGGAAUUUUCGGCAAUGGGGGCAACCCUGACCGAGCAAUGCCGCGUGAAUGAUGAAGGUCCUCGGAUCGUAAAGUUCUGUUAUCAGGAAAGAACAUCAUGGAGAGUGGAAAGCUCCAUGACUGACGGUACCUGAUUAGAAAGCCCCGGCUAACUAUGUGCCAGCAGCCGCGGUAAUACAUAGGGGGCGAGCGUUAUCCGGAAUUAUUGGGCGUAAAGCGUGCGUAGGCGGUUACUUAAGUCUGGUGUAAAAACCCAAAGCUUAACUUUGGGAGGUCACUGGAAACUGGGUAACUUGAGUAUGGUAGAGGUAAGUGGAAUUCCAAGUGGAGCGGUGGAAUGCGUAGAGAUUUGGAGGAACACCAGUGGCGAAGGCGGCUUACUGGGCCAUUACUGACGCUCAGGCACGAAAGCGUGGGGAGCAAAC